AGGUGCCUCCAGUGGGUGAAAGCCUUGAAAAUUGGCUUUCAAAAGCAUACUCAAGCCAUCUGUAGUGACCACUUUGAUGGGGUUCAUUUUGGCAGCAAGGGCCAGCUGCUGCCGACUGCAACCCCACGUCACACAGAUGGCCAUGAGGAGCAACCACCCACUGGGUUCCCGGCAUCAUCCCACAAUGCAGCCGCCAUUGACUUGGAGCCAAUGGAGUUGGAACUCUCCUCUACACAGAUUGUGCUGCCACAUUAUGGUU